UUUACCCUGGAGUGUGCGUUAGUGGGAUUACGUCCCUGAGCCGAUAAGCAAUCCUAAAGGAUUAGUACUUGACGGCUAUUGAGCAAGCUCGGCAUGCACCGAGAAGCCUACGGUCAUCAUUGCUGAUCCGCCUUGAACCAGCUGGUUCAAGGGUCAAAAUCUCCAACGGCACUCUGGGGUAUCC
rfam:Vibrio panuliri strain CAIM 703 CAIM703_23, whole genome shotgun sequence.